UCAAACUUGGUCAUUUAGAGGAAGUAAAAGUCGUAACAAGGUUUCCGUAGGUGAACCUGCGGAAGGAUCAUUACCGAGUGCGGGCCCUCGCGGCCCAACCUCCCACCCUUGUCUAUACACCUGUUGCUUUGGCGGGCCCACCGGGGCCACCCGGUCGCCGGGGGACAUCGUCCCCGGGCCCGCGCCCGCCGAAGCGCCCUGUGAACCCUGAUGAAGAUGGGCUGUCUGAGUAGUAUGAAAAUUGUCAAAACUUUCAACAAUGGAUCUCUUGGUUCCGGCAUCAAUGAAGAACGCAGC
rnacentral:misc_RNA from 1 species